UCGAGAAUCAUUCGCAAUGGGCGAAAGCCUGACGAUGCGACGCCGUGUGAGCGAUGAAGGCCUUCGGGUUGUAAAGCUCUUUCGCCUGGGAACAAGAGAGGUUGGUUAAUAACCAGCCGAUUUGAGGGUACUAGGUAAAGAAGCACCGGCUAACUCCGUGCCAGCAGCUGCGGUAAUACGGAGGGUGCAAGCAUUAAUCGGAUUCACUGGGCGUAAAGGGCGCGUAGGUGGGUAGGAUAGUUAUAUGUGAAAGCCCGGAGCUCAACUCCGGAACAGCAUCUAAUACUUCCUGUCUAGAGGUUUGGCGGAGAAAAUGGAAUUCCACGUGUAGCGGUGAAAUGCGUAGAUAUGUGGAAGAACACCGGUGGCGAAGGCGAUUUUCUAGCUUAUACCUGACACUGAGGCGCGAAAGCAAGGGGAGCAAACA
rnacentral:rRNA from 1 species